rnacentral:rRNA from 1 species
GACGAACGCUGGCGGCGUGCUUAACACAUGCAAGUCGAGCGGAAAGGCCCUUCGGGGUACUCGAGCGGCGAACGGGUGAGUAACACGUGAGUAACCUGCCCUAGACUUUGGGAUAACCCUCGGAAACGGGGGCUAAUACCGGAUACUCCUUCUAAAUCUCAUGAUUUGGUUGGGAAAGUUUUGCGGUCUGGGAUGGACUCGCGGCCUAUCAGCUUGUUGGUGGGGUAAUGGCCUACCAAGGCGAGGACGGGUAGCCGGCCUGUGAGGGGGAACGGCCACACUGGGACUGCGGGACGGACCAGAAUCCUAUGGGACGCAGCAGUGGGGAAUAUUGCACAAUGGGCGGAAGCCUGAUGCAGCGACGCCGCGUGCGGGAUGACGGCCUUCGGGUUGUAAGCAUAUUUCAGCAGGGACGAAGAGUAAGUGACGGUACCUGAAGAAGAAGCGCCGGCCAACUACGUG